UAGCAUAAUAAUUAGUUUUUUAAUUAAGAACUGGUAUGAAUGGUUUUACGAGAAAAAAACUGUCUCAAUUUAAUUUAAUUAGAAUUUUAUUUUUAAGUAAAAAAGCUUAAAUAAUUUUAAAAGACGAGAAGACCCUAUAGAGUUUUAUAUUUUUUAUUAAUUUUUAAAUUUAAGAAUUAUUUAAUUAAUAUUAAUAAUAAAUAUUUAAUUGGGGUGAUUGAAAAAUUUAAAUAACUUUUUUUUAUUUAAAACAUUAAUUUAUGAAUUAUUGAUCCAUUAUUUAUGAUUAAAAGAUAAAAUUACCUUAGGGAUAACAGCGUAAUUUUUUUUGAGAGUU
rnacentral:rRNA from 1 species